GACCAGACUCCUACGGGAGGCAGCAGUGGGGAAUAUUGCACAAUGGGGGAAACCCUGAUGCAGCGACGCCGCGUGAGCGAUGAAGUAUUUCGGUAUGUAAAGCUCUAUCAGCAGGGAAGAAGAUGACGGUACCUGACUAAGAAGCCCCGGCUAACUACGUGCCAGCAGCCGCGGUAAUACGUAGGGGGCAAGCGUUAUCCGGAUUCACUGGGUGUAAAGGGAGCGUAGACGGCGACGCAAGUCUGGAGUGAAAGCCCGGGGCUCAACCCCGGGACUGCUCUUGGAACUGCGUGGCUGGAGUGCAGGAGGGGCAGGCGGAAUUCCUGGUGUAGCGGUGAAAUGCGUAGAUAUCAGGAGGAACACCGGUGGCGAAGGCGGCCUGCUGGACUGCAACUGACGUUGAGGCCCGAAAGCGUGGGGAGCAAACAGGAUUAGAUACCCGGGUAAC
rnacentral:rRNA from 1 species